GGUCGAGUGGUGUAGCGGCUAUCACGUUCGCCUCACAUUUCCACAGUGUGGACGCGAAAGGUCCCGGGUUCAAUCCCCGGUUCGACCU